AUGGAAAUCUCUGUAAUUUUUAGAUA
rnacentral:tRNA from 2 species